rnacentral:rRNA from 1 species
AUUGAACGCUGGCGGCAUGCUUUACACAUGCAAGUCGAACGGCAGCGCGGGCUUCGGCCUGGCGGCGAGUGGCGAACGGGUGAGUAAUACAUCGGAACGUGCCCAGUAGUGGGGGAUAGCUCGGCGAAAGCCGGAUUAAUACCGCAUACGACCUGAGGGUGAAAGCGGGGGAUCUUCGGACCUCGCGCUAUUGGAGCGGCCGAUGGCAGAUUAGCUAGUUGGUGGGGUAAAGGCCUACUAAGGCGACGAUCUGUAGCUGGUCUGAGAGGACGACCAGCCACACUGGGACUGAGACACGGCCCAGACUCCUACGGGAGGCAGCAGUGGGGAAUUUUGGACAAAGGGCGAAAGCCUGAUCCAGCAAUGCCGCGUGUGUGAUGAAGGCCUUCGGGUUGUAAAGCACUUUUGGCGGGAACGAAAAGGAUUGUGCCAAUACCACGGUUCGAUGACGGUACCCGCAGAAUAAGCACCGGCUAACUACGUG